rnacentral:lncRNA from 1 species
CGGAUGAUCGGCCUGGUGGUUGGUCGAACUGGAUGAUCGGCCUGAUGGUUGGUCAACCCAGAUGGUCGGCCUGGUGACCCGAAUGGUCGGCCUGGUGACCCGGAUAAUCGACCUGGAUGAUCGGCCUGGUGGUUGGUCGACCUGGAUGGUCGGCCUAGUGAUGCCUAGGAGACUGUACGGUCCUCGGGGUACUGUACAGUACAUCAGCCCCCCA